UAAUAAAAGUGUUUAUGGCACUUUUAAAACAAUCCAUAUCCACCUUGUGUGCAAUGUUUCUUUUAUUUUAUCAACACUUUAUUUUAUUCUUUUGUCUGAAAUAUUUUAUGAAUUUUUACUUAAUUCAAAAAAUA
rnacentral:misc_RNA from 1 species